UCAAAUAAGGCAUCCUAGGUGGCAACGCUAGUUUGUGAAGGAGGAACGAGAGAUUGAAAUUGGGCUUCCAACUGAUGUCAAACAUAUUGCACGUAUUGGAUGGGAUGGAGCCUCUGACAAUCCUCCACUUGGAUGAAUUAAUUCAAGACAAAACCCAACAAGGUUCCUGCAACGCAAAUGUCAAU